rnacentral:rRNA from 1 species
GACGAACGCUGGCGGCGUGCUUAACACAUGCAAGUCGUACGGUAAGGCCCUUUCGGGGGUACACGAGUGGCGAACGGGUGAGUAACACGUGAGUAACCUGCCCACAACUUUGGGAUAACGCUAGGAAACUGGUGCUAAUACUGGAUAUGUGCUCCUGCUGCAUGGUGGGGGUUGGAAAGCUCCGGCGGUUGUGGAUGGACUCGCGGCCUAUCAGCUUGUUGGUGGGGUAGUGGCCUACCAAGGCGGCGACGGGUAGCCGGCCUGAGAGGGUGACCGGCCACAUUGGGACUGAGAUACGGCACAGACUCCUAAGGGAGGAAGCAGUGGGGAAUAUUGCACAAUGGGCGCAAGCCUGAUGCAGCAAGGCCGCGUGCGGGAUGACGGCCUUCGGGUUGUAAAACGCUUUCAGCAGGGACGAAGCUUUUUGUGACGGUACCUGAAGAAGAAGCACCGGCUAACUACGUG